UGGGGAAUAUUGGACAAUGGACCGAGAGUCUGAUCCAGCAAUUCUGUGUGCACGAUGAAGUUUUUCGGAAUGUAAAGUGCUUUCAGUUGGGAAGAAAGAAAUGACGGUACCAACAGAAGAAGUGACGGCUAAAUACGUGCCAGCAGCCGCGGUAAUACGUAUGUCACGAGCGUUAUCCGGAUUUAUUGGGCGUAAAGCGCGUCUAGGUGGUUAUAUAAGUCUGAUGUGAAAAUGCAGGGCUCAACUCUGUAUUGCGUUGGAAACUGUAUAACUAGAGUACUGGAGAGGUAAGCGGAACUACAAGUGUAGAGGUGAAAUUCGUAGAUAUUUGUAGGAAUGCCGAUGGGGAAGCCAGCUUACUGGACAGAUACUGACGCUGAAGCGCGAAAGCGUGGGUAGCAAACAGGAUUAGAUACCCUGGUAGUCCACGCUGUAAACGAUGAUUACUAGGUGUUGGGGGUCGAACCUCAGCGCCCAAGCAAACGCGAUAAGUAAUCCGCCUGGGGAGUACGUACGCAAGUAUG
rnacentral:rRNA from 1 species